UACAGAGGGUGCAAGCGUUGUUCGGAAUCACUGGGCGUAAAGCGCGUGUAGGCGGCUGGUUGUGUCGAAUGUGAAAGCCCUCGGCUUAACCGAGGAAGUGCAUUCGAAACUGACUAGCUUGAGUUCCGGAGAGGAAGGUGGAAUUCCCGGUGUAGAGGUGAAAUGCGUAGAUAUCGGGAGGAACACCAGUGGCGAAGGCGGCUCACUGGCCCGGUACUGACGCUGAGGUGCGAAAGCGUGGGGAGCAAACAGG
rnacentral:rRNA from 1 species